rnacentral:rRNA from 1 species
AGCGUACACGGUGGAUGCCCUGGCAGUCAGAGGCGAUGAAGGACGUGCUAAUCUGCGAUAAGCGUCGGUGAGGUGAUAUGAACCGUUAUAACCGGCGAUUUCCGAAUGGGGAAACCCAGUGUGUUUCGACACACUAUCAUUAACUGAAUCCAUAGGUUAAUGAGGCGAACCGGGGGAACUGAAACAUCUAAGUACCCCGAGGAAAAGAAAUCAACCGAGAUUCCCCCAGUAGCGGCGAGCGAACGGGGAGGAGCCCAGAGCCUGAAUCAGUGUGUGUGUUAGUGGAAGCGUCUGGAAAGGCGCGCGAUACAGGGUGACAGCCCCGUACACAAAAAUGCACAUGCUGUGAGCUCGAUGAGUAGGGCGGGACACGUGGUAUCCUGUCUGAAUAUGGGGGGACCAUCCUCCAAGGCUAAAUACUCCUGACUGACCGAUAGUGAACCAGUACCGUGAGGGAAAGGCGAAAAGAACCCCGGCGAGGGGAGUGAAAAAGAACCUGAAACCGUGUACGUACAAGCAGUGGGAGCCUCUUAAUGGGGUGACUGCGUACCUUUUGUAUAAUGGGUCAGCGACUUAUAUUCUGUAGCAAGGUUAACCGAAUAGGGGAGCCGAAGGGAAACCGAGUCUUAACUGGGCGUUAAGUUGCAGGGUAUAGACCCGAAACCCGGUGAUCUAGCCAUGGGCAGGUUGAAGGUUGGGUAACACUAACUGGAGGACCGAACCGACUAAUGUUGAAAAAUUAGCGGAUGACUUGUGGCUGGGGGUGAAAGGCCAAUCAAACCGGGAGAUAGCUGGUUCUCCCCGAAAGCUAUUUAGGUAGCGCCUCGUGAAUUCAUCUCCGGGGGUAGAGCACUGUUUCGGCAAGGGGGUCAUCCCGACUUACCAACCCGAUGCAAACUGCGAAUACCGGAGAAUGUUAUCACGGGAGACACACGGCGGGUGCUAACGUCCGUCGUGAAGAGGGAAACAACCCAGACCGCCAGCUAAGGUCCCAAAGUCAUGGUUAAGUGGGAAACGAUGUGGGAAGGCCCAGACAGCCAGGAUGUUGGCUUAGAAGCAGCCAUCAUUUAAAGAAAGCGUAAUAGCUCACUGGUCGAGUCGGCCUGCGCGGAAGAUGUAACGGGGCUAAACCAUGCACCGAAGCUGCGGCAGCGACACUAUGUGUUGUUGGGUAGGGGAGCGUUCUGUAAGCCUGUGAAGGUGGCCUGUGAGGGUUGCUGGAGGUAUCAGAAGUGCGAAUGCUGACAUAAGUAACGAUAAAGCGGGUGAAAAGCCCGCUCGCCGGAAGACCAAGGGUUCCUGUCCAACGUUAAUCGGGGCAGGGUGAGUCGACCCCUAAGGCGAGGCCGAAAGGCGUAGUCGAUGGGAAACAGGUUAAUAUUCCUGUACUUGGUGUUACUGCGAAGGGGGGACGGAGAAGGCUAUGUUGGCCGGGCGACGGUUGUCCCGGUUUAAGCGUGUAGGCUGGUUUUCCAGGCAAAUCCGGAAAACCAAGGCUGAGGCGUGAUGACGAGGCACUACGGUGCUGAAGCGACAAAUGCCCUGCUUCCAGGAAAAGCCUCUAAGCAUCAGGUAACAUCAAAUCGUACCCCAAACCGACACAGGUGGUCAGGUAGAGAAUACCAAGGCGCUUGAGAGAACUCGGGUGAAGGAACUAGGCAAAAUGGUGCCGUAACUUCGGGAGAAGGCACGCUGAUAUGUAGGUGAAGCGACUUGCUCGUGGAGCUGAAAUCAGUCGAAGAUACCAGCUGGCUGCAACUGUUUAUUAAAAACACAGCACUGUGCAAACACGAAAGUGGACGUAUACGGUGUGACGCCUGCCCGGUGCCGGAAGGUUAAUUGAUGGGGUUAGCGGUAACGCGAAGCUCUUGAUCGAAGCCCCGGUAAACGGCGGCCGUAACUAUAACGGUCCUAAGGUAGCGAAAUUCCUUGUCGGGUAAGUUCCGACCUGCACGAAUGGCGUAAUGAUGGCCAGGCUGUCUCCACCCGAGACUCAGUGAAAUUGAACUCGCUGUGAAGAUGCAGUGUACCCGCGGCAAGACGGAAAGACCCCGUGAACCUUUACUAUAGCUUGACACUGAACAUUGAGCCUUGAUGUGUAGGAUAGGUGGGAGGCUUUGAAGUGUGGACGCCAGUCUGCAUGGAGCCGACCUUGAAAUACCACCCUUUAAUGUUUGAUGUUCUAACGUUGGCCCCUAAUCGGGGUUGCGGACAGUGUCUGGUGGGUAGUUUGACUGGGGCGGUCUCCUCCUAAAGAGUAACGGAGGAGCACGAAGGUUGGCUAAUCCUGGUCGGACAUCAGGAGGUUAGUGCAAUGGCAUAAGCCAGCUUGACUGCGAGCGUGACGGCGCGAGCAGGUGCGAAAGCAGGUCAUAGUGAUCCGGUGGUUCUGAAUGGAAGGGCCAUCGCUCAACGGAUAAAAGGUACUCCGGGGAUAACAGGCUGAUACCGCCCAAGAGUUCAUAUCGACGGCGGUGUUUGGCACCUCGAUGUCGGCUCAUCACAUCCUGGGGCUGAAGUAGGUCCCAAGGGUAUGGCUGUUCGCCAUUUAAAGUGGUACGCGAGCUGGGUUUAGAACGUCGUGAGACAGUUCGGUCCCUAUCUGCCGUGGGCGCUGGAGAACUGAGGGGGGCUGCUCCUAGUACGAGAGGACCGGAGUGGACGCAUCACUGGUGUUCGGGUUGUCAUGCCAAUGGCACUGCCCGGUAGCUAAAUGCGGAAGAGAUAAGUGCUGAAAGCAUCUAAGCACGAAACUUGCCCCGAGAUGAGUUCU